CCUACGGGAGGCAGCAGUGGGGAAUUUUGGACAAUGGGCGCAAGCCUGAUCCAGCCAUGCCGCGUGCAGGAUGAAGGCCUUCGGGUUGUAAACUGCUUUUGUACGGAACGAAAAGGUUCUUUCUAAUAAAGAGAGCUCAUGACGGUACCGUAAGAAUAAGCACCGGCUAACUACGUGCCAGCAGCCGCGGUAAUACGUAGGGUGCAAGCGUUAAUCGGAAUUACUGGGCGUAAAGCGUGCGCAGGCGGUUAUGUAAGACAGUUGUGAAAUCCCCGGGCUCAACCUGGGAACUGCAUCUGUGACUGCAUAGCUAGAGUACGGUAGAGGGGGAUGGAAUUCCGCGUGUAGCAGUGAAAUGCGUAGAUAUGCGGAGGAACACCGAUGGCGAAGGCAAUCCCCUGGACCUGUACUGACGCUCAUGCACGAAAGCGUGGGGAGCAAACAGGAUUAGAUACCCUGGUAGUCCACGCCCUAAACGAUGUCAACUGGUUGUUGGGUCUUCACUGACUCAGUAACGAGCUAACGCGUGAAGUUGACCGCCUGGGGAGUCGGCGNAAGUUGAACUUAAGGAUUG
rnacentral:rRNA from 1 species